UCCUAUGUUCAGGAUCUGGAGGAGCACGGG
rnacentral:piRNA from 1 species